rnacentral:rRNA from 1 species
ACUUAAAUUGAAGAGUUUGAUCAUGGCUCAGAUUGAACGCUGGCGGCAGGCCUAACACAUGCAAGUCGAGCGGUAGCACAGAGAGCUUGCUCUCGGGUGACGAGCGGCGGACGGGUGAGUAAUG